GCUAUGCGCAAUUCGUGUAGGAUGAGAACCUGCUGCAGGUUCGAGUCGAACGAAGUGAGACAACGGAGCCGCUUGCGGCGACGGCCCGCAGGGCGAGCGAAGCGAGUCAUCCUGCACGACCCACCA
rnacentral:sRNA from 1 species